AUUGAACGCUGGCGGCAUGCCUUACACAUGCAAGUCGAACGGCAGCACGGGGCAACCUGGUGGCGAGUGGCGAACGGGUGAGUAAUGCAUCGGAACGUGCCAUUGAGUGGGGGAUAACGUAGCGAAAGUUGCGCUAAUACCGCAUAUUCUGUGAGCAGGAAAGCAGGGGGACCGCAAGGCCUUGCGCUCUUUGAGCGGCCGAUGUCAGAUUAGCUAGUUGGUGAGGUAACGGCUUACCAAGGCGACGAUCUGUAGCGGGUCUGAGAGGAUGAUCCGCCACACUGGAACUGAGACACGGUCCAGACUCCUACGGGAGGCAGCAGUGGGGAAUUUUGGACAAUGGGCGCAAGCCUGAUCCAGCCAUGCCGCGUGAGUGAAGAAGGCCUUCGGGUUGU
rnacentral:rRNA from 1 species